UUCAUAUGGCCGGCCAAAGAAGAAUAAAGGAUGAAAAGAAAGAACAAGAACCCUAGGUGGAAAAAUUCAAGGGAAAAGUGUGAAAAUUCAAGGAAACAAGGGAAAAAAAGGUAAGAUUUUUCAAUUAAGCUUGAGAUCUUUCUUUCUUAAGCAUUUUUGCUUAUUUUUCAUGGUUGAAUCACAUGAUUUCAUGAUGGGUAUCUUGCUGAUCAAACCCUAGGAGAGAGAAUUUGAUGAUGAUUUAGAUAGAUUUUGAAGAUAUAUGGACGUUUUUAGUUGUUUAUGGUGUUAAGUGUAAGAAUUAAGCUUGAAAUUCACAUAUUCCUCAGGAGUUCAUCAUUGGCCGAAUCUUCCUUGUAGAGUGUUGAUGGUGAAUUUGAUUUUAUUUCAAGUGAAUUGGUUAGAAAAUGAUGAAUUAUGGUGAAAAAAUCAAGUAGGAAAAAUCAUAGUGUUGAUGCACUCACCAUGGCCGAAAUUCUCAAGAAUAAAUGUGAGGAUAGUUUUGCUAAAUUUUAUGUUAUCUGACUUGUGUUUGGUGAUUUGAAGAAUUGGGAGAAAAAUGGAAUUAAUUGGAGUUGAAUUGGACAUAUUGGCCAAUUAAUCGGGUGAUAGAUCGAAUUAGGCCAAUACCGAUUUAUUUUGGUACACAAUUGAAUUUGUGUAGAACACCGUGUUUAGGCGAUAAUCUGAACGAUCUGCAUUCCAUUUCAUGCAUUAGUAAAGAGCCUAAAAUAGAGUUAAAAUGGUAUGACACAGUAUAUUGAAUUAUGUGUCGUGUAUUCUAUAUAGGUGGUGAGCCCUCUAACAAGGGUAAAGACGUGGUGUUAGAGGACUGAGAAUAGGAGUAUUUCAAACUCCUGAUACAGUGAGUAACCUUAUCAUCAUCUUGAUUAUCUGAAGUGAAUUUUUAUUCGAUUUUGUGGAUUUUAUGGAAAAUGAGUUUAAAUGGUAAAUCUUUAUGUUUUAUAAGUAAAAUGUGAUUAAACGAAAUGAUUUUAUAAAAUUGUCUUGAAAUUGAAUGAUGGUUUUGAAAAUGGAGUAAUUGGAGACUAAUUGCUGUGUUAUAAAUCAUGGUUUGAACUGAAUGGCUUAUGAUAAUAUUGGCAUGAAUGGUUGAAUUAGUAAAUGUACUGAAAAUGUAUGAACUGUUGAUUUGCCUUGAGAGGCUGUAAAAUAAAAUAAUUGCCAUGUCAUGCUAUUAUAAAUUUUAUUGAAUUGGUGGGUUAUAUAUUGGUCGCUACAGUGGACCGGUUCCGUGGACCAGCCUAUUAGAGGGGCAUGGUAACCCUAUUAUAUUCAUACCUCAGUAUGAGAGGCGCGGAUGGAUAACUCCUAAGGUUAACACUUUAGAGUUCACUUCACGCUAAACCACCACGUGAGGGUGAACUCAGCCAACGCCAAAGAACGACUAUGUUUUCAAAAUAAAAAACAUGAUUUAUGCGUACAUAACUUUUUAACAGCCUUGGCGGACUCGGUUGAGAUAGCCCUUGGCCAAGGUAUCCUUGAUAAUUGAGUAUGAGAAUGAUUUUGGCACGAGCCAAACUUUUCACGAAAUCAUAAGCCUCGUUGUUUAUUUUGGUGAAAUGAAUCUAUUUUGUCUUAUUAAAAUGAGUUCGAAAUGCUGAGAAUCAUUUUUAUACUCAUCUAUUUUAUCUGUCUCCAUUUACUCAGCUUUAGAUAUUUUAGAUGGUAUUUGUUUACUCACUGAAAUUAUAUAAUCUCACCACCCUCCUUUCCACCCAUUUCAGGCUCAGGAUAGUCGGUAGAUAGCUCAUUUCAUCGAGAGCUACCAUUGGAUUUGCAUCCUCCAAAUUGUAGGUUCACAACCUUUAUUACUUUUGGUUAUUCGAGGGCCCACUUGUUAUUAUAAUUAAAUCUUAUGCUUUGGUUAUAGGUAUUACAGUAUGUAUGAAUUUAUUUAGCUUUUACGCUACAAAAAUUAUUUACCGGUAACUCUAUAAAUAUUGUUUUAUAAGAAAAUAGAAUAUUUUAUUGAAUAUUUUUUAUUUUUUUUAUUAUAUUCAAAUAAUCAUAAUUUCAUUUUAAAUGAAGGUUUUAGACAUUUAAACUUAUUUUUGAUUAUGAAAUAUGUGUUAUCCACUCGUAUACUACAUUUUUAGCUGGUUUCGAGAUUUUGAAGAAAAAUUACCAAAAUGCCUCUGUGAGAAAAAAAUUAUUUUUCUAUUGUUUUGAUUUGGAAAUAGUUUAUAAUCUCUCAAAACAUGAUACUUAACAACUAUUGCUCACAGGGGAGGUGUGAAAACUGAUAUUAAAGCCUUGCGAGGUUCCGGUUGGCAUUCUGGGCAAUGAAUAUCUAUCGAGACGUCGCGGCGGUUGUCUCGGGCUCGAAAGGAGUACCGGGUCGUGACAGGGGGUCCUACAUGUUCCCCAUUACAAGUACAUCCUUGCAUGCAUAUCUUUGCAUGUAAUAGUAUUUGUUACAUGCAUAUUCCAUCCUCCCACACAAUCUAAUUUUCCUUGGUUAGUUAAUUUCCAUUUAACUUUAAAUGUUGAAAUUGCACAUAAGUCCUCAAAUUUUUCUUAUUUACCAUUUGACCUUCCAAACUUUUCAUCUUUUACAAUUUAGUCCUUCAAACAUUUCUUUAAUUUCAAUUUUCUUCUAUUUUUCUUCCAUUACACUUGUACAAAUAAAAUAUCAUAUUGACACUUCAUCAAGGUGUCAUCAUAAUAUUUAAAUAUAUACUUACCCUCUCUUGCUUUAUUUAAUAAAGGUACGUGGGCUCCACUAACGCCUUUUUUCUUCAAAAUUCUUUCUUACUUAUUCUCCCCCACUUAGAUUAGCCAUAUAGUCCUCCUUCAUGACUAAUUUCAACAAUAGAUAAAAUAUUAAUAUUUUAAUAUUAUUUUAUUAAUAAAAUAUUAUUUUAUUUUAAAAUUCUCCACUUGUCUCCUCGGGCCCCAAAGUGUCUCACUUUGUUCUGGUUCACUUCCAAAUCACCUUUUAACUUACUAAUUUAUCUUUGUUAAAAAUAUUAUAAUUUUAUUACUAUUUUCUCGCGUACGAAAUAUUUUAUUCCAAAAUAUUCUUUUCACCCAUCACCACUCUUUAGAACUUAAAUUUACAUCAAUUGACUCUUCAUCUUGUCAAUAAGGUCUUAUUGACUCCUAUACUAGGGUAUGGGGUGCUACAAGGAUGGUGUGUAGAAGAAAAACUAUCUCUAAUAGAAGUUUGAGGUUAUUUGAGGAUGAGAUUGAGAUCAAUUGGAAGUUGAGGGUGUAACAACUCCUCACUAGCAUCCUAAUGUACACCAACUUAUUUGCACAAAGUUGUAAUGAAAGAAGGGAACCACAAGUGUGAGACCUCGACCUUCACAAACAUGUAGCGGAGGUAGACCUAUGAUGUGGAGUAGGGGUAGUUUGGUCAUUUUUUUGGUGAGCUCAUAAAAGUGGGUUUUCUAAUAUUAUUAAGGCCUAACUAGGUCUAAGGCAUAAAUAAAUGAUAAAAAUGAGGAUACAAUGACGAAGGAAAUAGAAAUAAUGGUGAUUUCCAAGCUAAGGGCAAAAUGGUCAUUUUUCAUCUCAAGUCAAAAUUUUUAAGUUUUCAUGAAUCUGAGUAUUUCUAGACUAUUAUGGACUUUAUCUUAGUGUCAAAAGAGUAAAAAGAUUGCAUAAAGGAUUGGAGGAAGACAAAGUUAACUUUUUAAGGGCAUUUUCGUAAUUUAAGUGAAGUUUGGAUAAGCUUAGGCUAUAAAUAUCUCAUUUCUCCAGUAGCUUCCUCACUUUUCCAGCAGCUUCUUGUUCUUCUUCCUCCCAUCUCACGUUUCUACAUCUUCCAUGGAAGCCUCACUUAAAGCUUCUAUAACUUUCUCUCUCUAGCUUCAAUUUUCAUGCUUUUGAGCACUUUUUCAUAGAAUCUUUUGUGCUCUUUCACUCUUCCACCUUAAAACCCUCAAAAGUCUUUGUUCAACACUUUCUUUCACUAGUUGGAAGUUUUAGAGAGAGAAAGAGAGACUUGCCAUAGUAGCUUGAAAACUCUUGAAAGGAGUUCAACUAUAAGUCCACCAAGGUGAGAGAUGAGUUAAGGUUGAUUUUAGGUGGUUAGAGAUGGCUAAUAAUUAGAAUUGUGGGCUGUUAUAUUUUUUAUGGUUAUAUUGUGUGUGAUAGGUUCCAACGAGGCCUCACAUGUCCGUUUGAAGCAAUAAACGAAGUUAGAGUCAAUUAAAGAUUCAACAAAUAUCGGUGAGUGAACUUGCAUUUCAAAAUUUCUUUGGGAAAUGUAAAUGUAUUUGGAUGAAACAUUUGAAUGAUUUUAUCCAACCUUUCUUUAAAAAUGUGUGCUGGGGAACAAACCCUUAAUAAAAUAUUUUGAUGUUGUGAAAAUGUGAAAUGUGUGAAAGGAUGGAUGCAUGUGCUCCUAUAUUAUGUUGAUAUAUAUAUAUAUAUAUAUAUAUUUAUAUAUGAAUAUAUGUUGUGCAUUGAUAAAUAAUGUUGUGUGUUGAUGUUGAAGUGUGGGAGUCCACACAGAUGAUGUUGAAGUGUGCGAGUAGGGAGUGCACACAUGAUGAUGUUAGAGUGUGCGAGUAAGAGUGCACACAUGAUGAUGUUGAAGUGUGCGAGUAGGGAGUGCACACAUGAUGAUGUUAGAGUGUGCGAGUAAGGAGUGCACACAUGAUGAUGAUAUUGCAUUAAGCUGAGUGUGGUGAGAUGGUAUGCAUGAUGAUGCAUGUAUAUAUAUAUGUGUGUGUUAUAGAAAGUUUAUGAUUAUAAUAUGUGAUUGCAAUGAAUAAUGAGAAACUUGAUUAUUGUCAAUGUGUUCACUUUGAUGUGCAAUAUGGUAGGAAUGGAUUUUGUGGCAUGUGAAAAUCCCUUAAUUGUCAUCUGCCCUAAAUCUCACUGUAGCAAGAAACUCUCGGGUGGUGGGGGCACAAACCAGCCUUGUUUCUGCCGACAGUAAAAAAGAAUUCUCGCUGUAGCAAGGAAUUUCGCUGCAGUGAAAAUGGAUUCUCGCUACAGCGAGAAACUCUCGGGUGGUUCCAAAUUUUCUAGUGCAGUGCCUUUGCUUUGACAUAGAUUUUGAACACUUUUUGUUCAGAACUGGGCAACAUGGUAAACAUAAAAGUUGUAGCCCAGCCUCUUAUCUUUCUGACGGUUAAAAAAUAAUGUCAAUUGGACUUCUGUAGUGGGAGAUAUUCUUGAAAAACAAAAGCAUAUGCAAACUAAGAAUGUUUCUCACUGCAGCAAAAAACUUGUUGUCAUGCUUGCUACCUUGCUUGAUUUUGACAUAUUUUUUCAGUCAUUUAACUGCAUGGAUUGAUCAUGGGUUUUUGCAACACUAUGAGGUCAUUAAUCAAAGUUUGAAAUGAGGGGUUUUUAGUAAGAAAUUAAAUCAAUUGCAUUGUUUUUGAAACAAGUGCAUCAUGAUUUCCAAGUUCUCCUUAUCGAUUGCUUGUUCCCUUCUUAUGUUCACUCACUAAGUUUUAUACUCACAUUUUUAAACUUCAUGUUUUCAGAUUUGGAGGCAGUUGGGACCUAGAUUGAGUGUCCGCGUAUGCUCAUCUUCUUGGUAGGUAUUAUGGCAUCUUAGUAGUGGUACCUUCACUUAAAAUCUCUCCACUGACAGUUGAGAGUCUUUUGUCUGUGUACACGUUUAUGUAAUGUAAACUACUAAGAGUCAUGUUAUAAAUGAAGUAUGUAUAUGUUGGAUUGAUGAUGAUGCCCUUAUGAGAUGACAAUGAGUGAUAGUUCUUUAAGAUAAUACAAAUACGAAUAUUCGGUUGCUAUAAAAUAUUACUAAAACAUUCAUCAUUGAGAAUUACAACACAUGGUUUUCAAGAUGAUGGAUGGAAUGAGGAAUAGGAUCUCAUAAAGAGGCUUGCUUGGGCCUAGCGGGCUAUGCCCACUGAGCCCGUGCGCCGAUCAUAGCUCGAAAUUUGGACUGUGACAAUAAGCCUUCACGCUUUGAUUAUGCAGUGUGAGUCAUGGCUUUGUAAAUUAUGCGGCCAUUAUCAAUUAUGUGUCCAGUCAUGAAGGAAUGAAUAACGAUGGCUCGAUCUUUUAUGACAUCAUUGAGAUGUGUGGUAGGAAGUAAUUGGGAAGCCA
rnacentral:lncRNA from 1 species